UAUCGAGUAAACUAUUCGGGUGCCCGUUGAAACCGGACGGGAGAAUAGGGAAGAGGGUGAAAAUCCCUCGCUGCCCCGCAACUGUAAGUGGUGAUGACCGUCAGCAGGCCACUGGCUCUUUUGAGUCGGGAAGGGCUGACCAGUAAGGCGACCCACAAGCCAGGAGACCUGCCCGGAUAUUGACCGUAGC
rnacentral:ncRNA from 2 species